AUUGAACGCUGGCGGCAGGCCUAACACAUGCAAGUCGAGCGGAGCGGUGGACGGGUGAGUAAUGCCUAGGAAUCUGCCUGGUAGUGGGGGAUAACGUCCGGAAACGGGCGCUAAUACCGCAUAAUAUCAGAUGAGCCUAGGUCGGAUUAUCUAGUUGGUGGGGUAAAGGCCUACCAGGGCGAAGAUCCGAAACUGGUCUGAGAGGAGGAUGAGUCACAUGGUAACUGAGACACGGUCCCGACUCAUAUGUGAGGCAGCAGUGGGGAAUAUUGGACAAUGGGCGAAAGCCUGAUCCAGCCAUGCCGCGUGUGUGAAGAAGGUCUUCGGAUUGUAAAGCACUUUAAGUUGGGAGGCGUUACCAACAGAAUAAGCACCGGCUAACUUCGUGCCAGCCGCCGCGGUAAUAC
rnacentral:rRNA from 1 species